rnacentral:rRNA from 2 species
UCAUCUUCGGGGGUAGAGCACUGUUUCGGCUAGGGGGUCAUCCCGACUUACCAACCCGAUGCAAACUACGAAUACCGAAGAAUGUUAUCACGGGAGACACACGGCGGGUGCUAACGUUCGUCGUGAAGAGGGAAACAACCCAGACCGCCAGCUAAGGUCCCAAAGUCAUGGUUAAGUGGGAAACGAUGUGGGAAGGCACAGACAGCCAGGAUGUUGGCUUAGAAGCAGCCAUCAUUUAAAGAAAGCGUAAUAGCUCACUGGUCGAGUCGGCCUGCGCGGAAGAUGUAACGGGGCUAAACCAUGCACCGAAGCUGCGGCAGCGACACUUAGGUGUUGUUGGGUAGGGGAGCGUUCUGUAAGCCGUCGAAGGUGGCCUGUGAGGGCUGCUGGAGGUAUCAGAAGUGCGAAUGCUGACAUAAGUAACGAUAAUGCGGGUGAAAAACCCGCACGCCGGAAGACCAAGGGUUCCUGUCCAACGUUAAUCGGGGCAGGGUGAGUCGACCCCUAAGGCGAGGCUGAAAAGCGUAGUCGAUGGGAAACAGGUUAAUAUUCCUGUACUCGGUGUUACUGCGAAGGGGGGACGGAGAAAGCUAGGUUAUCCGGGCGACGGUUGUCCCGGUUUAAGCGUGAAGGUGGAUGACUUUGGUAAAUCCGGGUCGUCAUUAACACUGAGGCGUGAUGACGAGUCACUACGGUGAUGAAGUAACUAAUGCUACGCUUCCAGGAAAAGCCUCUAAGCUCCAGGUAACAUCAAAUCGUACCCCAAACCGACACAGGUGGUCAGGUAGAGAAUACUCAGGCGCUUGAGAGAACUCGGGUGAAGGAACUAGGCAAAAUGGUGCCGUAACUUCGGGAGAAGGCACGCUGAUGGUA